rnacentral:lncRNA from 1 species
CUUAAUUUUUUUUAAUAAUUUAAUCUAACAUCUUAUUAGUCAAGUAAAAAUACAUAAUUUUAAUACAUCCAAAUCCUUAUAAAUAGAUGUGAGAGCUUUUAUGGAUGCUACAAAAGAAGGAUUAUCUUUUGCUUUAUAUACCAUCCCUAUUUUUGAUGGUGAGAAGAUAUCGAGUGGUAUUCUUACUCAGUAUCAAGAUUUCUAAGACAUUUUUGAAAAAAAAAUGUAGAUAUUCUUCCAAAGCAUCAUAUUUAUAAUUGUUCCACUGAUCUUCACAAAAGAGCUUAACUACCAUUUGCACCAAUUUAUAGCCUAGCACAAAAUCAGUUGGCUGCAC